rnacentral:lncRNA from 1 species
UAUAUUUGCCUCUGAACAGCACAAGAGCUAGCGCUAGGGUUAGCACCUAAUGCUAAUGCUGCCGCACCCAGCCUUGGUGCUGGAGAAACUUCACUGAAACUCAGCCUUAUAACACUGUACUUCAGCAGAGUGGGUUUACUGCUCCUCACAACCUGGCUAGUAAAAUUCAUACAUAAGGUGCACCAGAUUUUUACGGGGCUGAUGGUCAAUUUGCAACUAGGCUUCAUGGAUGAUGUCACGCUCUCAGACCUGCUACCUGACUACCUGACAGAGGACCACACAGGAGCUGCUGUGCUGUCUCUGAGGCAGGUCAGGACCCCUAUAACCAGCAGCAGAGUGAAGGACCAGACCCAGGAGCACUUGGAGUUUAAUUUUUAAUAUUUCAGUCUACACUGUACGGGUCAUUAGUGAAUAAAACCUAUUAGAACGAUAUUAUAACA